rnacentral:rRNA from 1 species
CCCCUAGACGUUCUGGGCUGCACGCGCGCUUCAAUAAUACGCACAGCGAGUAUCACCGAGCUCGAAAGGGCAAGGUAAACAAUAGAAAAGGUACUGUAAUGGUUAUAGAUCCUUGUAAUUAUUGAUCUUCAACGAGGAAUUCCUAGUAAGUAUGUGUCAUCAUCACGCACUGAUUACGUCCCUGCCCUUUGUACACACCGCCCGUCGCUCCUACCGAUUGGGUGAGCCGAUGAAACUCUCGGAUGUAGGCUAUUCAUAGCCCGCAGAAGAGAUUUGAAUCGUAGCGCUUAGAGGAAGGAGAAGUCGUAACA